UUUAUUUAAAGUGUCAAUACUAGCUCAUCGUACUUGACACAUUCCUGAACAAUUCCGCCAUCUUUUUUUCGUGUUAGUUGGAAGAACGUGUUGGAGCAGACUGUUUGUCGUUAAGAAAAGGUUAGUUCGUGUUGUAAAUUACAUCCGUUGUGCGACAGAGUGACACAAAUUGUGCGACGUAUUACAACGGAAAUUAUAAAGGAAAGUGUAGAUUGUAAUAUUUCAGAACAAUUAAAUUUUUGAUCACUA